GGAAAGUUCUGUUCUGGCUUCCGGUUCUGAGAACUCAGUCCAUCACGACAGAGGAUAGAUAUGGUAGCUUAGAGAACUCAACCUAACGGAAGCCAGGAAACAGAGAAAGACAGACAAAGGGCAGAGACAGACACACAAAGAACCUGCCUCCAGCCACCUACUUCUUUCUACUAAGUUUCACCUUCUGAUGUUUUUAGCACCUUCAAAAAUAGUGCCCUCAGCUGGUGACCAAAUGUUCAAAUAAGCCCAAGGGGCACAUUUCAGAUUUACAGCUUUCCACCCUGGGCCCCAAAAUGUAUUUGUAUAUUUACUCUAUCUCAAGAGUCCCCAAUGUAUUAUAUUUCAACAUUGCUCAAAAGUCCAAAGUCUCUUCUAAGACUUGAGGCAAUAUCUCAGCUAUAUGAGUUCCUGUAAAAAAAAAAAAAAAAGUUACACACACAAGGGCACAGAGUAAACAUUUCCAUUCUAAAAUGUAGAACGGAAUAGCCAGUAAGGAUUGCAUGGACCCAUCAAGGCAAACUUUAAAGCUUGCUGCUCCUUGUCUGUCUUCUGAGGUAUGUUGUAGGCUCCAGAGGGCUUGGGCAACCCUGCCAUUUGGCUUUGCUGUUUGCAUGCAGCCCAUCUGAACUUUCUUGGGAUGGUUCCACUCAAUGACGUCAUAGUGCAGGGACUCUCUUCUUAUCACAUAUUUCUCAACCUCUCAGGCUUUUCUUUGAAAUCUGGGUGGAAACCUGCUAACUCAGUAUCACUUGGAAGGGCAAGGAUUGCUGCCAGUUGCAGUUGUAGUGGCUCCCUGAGACCAUAGCUACAGCAGCCUCAAGAGUACCUGGGUGCCUGAGCACAAUGGACACAUCCUGGGGAAACAGCUUCCCAGAUGGCCUUGGCCUUGUCUACUCACGAUAUUUUCUCUCUUCUCAAGGAAGAUGUAUCCCAAAUUAGUUUACGCUUUACUGUCCUUAAACCUGUGAUGUAUGAGUUCUGGCCAGUUCCUAAGAUGCCCUGGAGACACCCUUUGCCUUGAUGAUAAUCCUCUUAUAAUUAAUGGCCCUAAUUUCUUCAGUAGUCACACUUUCUUUGGCCCCAACUUUUCUGACCAUGAUGCAAGUUUUUCAGUCUUUGCUGCUUUUUUCUCAUUAUAAAUGCUAAUAGCUGUUAGUAAACCUCAUUCCUUUGGAAUUUCCAGUGGAUCACUCAUAAACUCAGCCUGUCAUGGAGUUUAGUGUUUUGAUAAAUGGAUAAAAUUUAGGUAUCUUCUUUAUUAUAGUGUAACAUGUACAGUUUCUAGUCCAGUUUCCAGCAGUCUUUGCUGUCUGAAACCUGUCUUUAAUGCCCACAUUCUUAAUGACUUUUAGUCUUCUGAGCUCCCACCAAAAUUGUCCAUUAAGUUCUACUGACAACACUCUUGGCUUUGGCUUGUUUUUUUUUCUUUCUUUUCUUUUUUUUUUUUUUUUUUUUGGUUUUUUGAGACAGGGUUUCUCUGUGUAGCCCUGGCUGUCCUGGAACUCACUCUGUAGACCAGGCUGGCCUCGAACUCAGAAAUCCGCCUGCUUCUGUCUCCCAAGUGCUGGAAUUAAAGGCGUACACCACCACUGCCCAGCUGGCUUGUUUUUCUAAAGUCUUUAAUAUUCCUCCUGUAAGACUGGGUCCAAAGGCUUCUACCUACACCAGCAGCAAACAGCAAUGACCUCACUUUUCUGGGGCCAAUUUUCUGUUUUAGACUUUUAUUUGACAUACACAUCUUAAGUGGGAGAAAGGUUUGUUUGUGGUUUCAGUACCCUCAUGGUAGAAGACAUAUAGUGGAACAAAGUUUCUCAUCUCCUGAUAGCUAGGAAAAGAGAAGGGGAGAGGAGGAGAGGAGGUGGGCAAUGAGAGAUGUCCAACAUUUCCCAGUAAAGUGCCAAUAACCUGCAGAGGACCAGUACAUGAGCCUGCAAGGGACAUUGCAGAUUCAAGCCACAGUACCUUAUACCUUAGCAUGGAAUUGCUGGCUAUCUCAUGACUGUCUGGUUCCCUUUCCAUCCAUCAAGCUAUUGGAAUCUUGAAGACUUCACUGAAAUAUUCUUUGUAUCUGAUUUUCAGAAUUAACUCUUUACUCUCUGAUACAUUUUUCCAUCUUAAUUAGUGUUAUUUAUUUUAUGUGCAUGUUUGAAUUUGUGUGCACCACAUGUGUACAGGUGAAAAGGGCAUCAGAUUUACCGAAACUGGAGUUAUAGGGAGUUGCGAGCUGCUCAGUGUAUGUGCUGGGAACUAUACCUGGAUCUUUUGUAAGAGCAAUAAGUGCUCUUAAUUGCUGAUCCAUCUCUAGUCUAGUCUCUCAACUUGUUUUGUUAUUGUUGUUUGCUUAUGAUAUUUUAGGUUUUUUGUUUUGCAUGGAGGCAUCUCCUGGAUCUUAAUGUCUUAAGGGAAGAGAAGAGACUCCUACUUGAUGAUUCUUUCUAGUGUGCAGUAUAAUUAUAACCUUUUUGCACAGUAUCCAUUCAUUAGAUAUUUGACUGAAUUAACUCAGAAUCACUUCGUAAUCUGAUUUCAGAAGGACUGGGCUUGGGUCAAAGUAGCUUUCUGGAGAACUUUGUGACUCAAUGCAGGGCCCAGUAGAUAGCAGAUGUAUCAGUAAGGGGUAGCUUUCAGCUCGUUUGAGCAGGUGUAGAAAACACUAGAGCUUGGUGCCUUAGUUACUUUGGUGUUGCUGUUACCACAGUACCUGGUGGUAACAUGGAUUUAUAGGAUUUUAGUUCCUCUAGGGACAGCAUGUGAGAACACAUCACUUCAUAGAAGCAGGAGCGUAUGGUGGAGGCUGUUCAUAUCGCAGCAAACCAGCAAGCAGAAAGCCAGACAGAAAAUGGACAGGGAUAACAGAAUCCUAGAGUCACUCCUGCCCAGAUGGCCUUCUUUCAAGUAGUACUGCUAGCUAGGGACGAGACAUUCAGAACAUGAGCCAGUGGGGAUAGUUCAUAUUCCAAUCCAACAUUUGGCCUUUGAGGCCCCAAGAUUCAUGGCCAUCUCAUAUGCACAAUGCAUUUAAUUCAAGUUCAACUUCUUAACAGUUUUGACGUUCUUUAUUAGUCUGGUGCCAAGUGGUCAGCCGUGAGACCAUAUACACACAGAUAACGUACAGAAUGAACAGGUUGUAUUUAUAUAUUUAGAAAAAAUACAUGUAUUUGUUUAUAUAUGUAUAUGUGUGAAAACAAGAAAAAAAUGUGAAGAAAAAAUCCAUGAAUUUGAGAGACAACAAGGAAGUGCCUGGGCAGGUUUGGAAGGAGGAAAGGGAAGGGGAGAAAUGAUACAAUAAUACUGUAAUU
rnacentral:lncRNA from 1 species